UGGCUCAGUUGGUAGAGCAUGGUAUUUGCAAUGCCAGGGUUGUGGGUUCAAUUCCCAC
rnacentral:tRNA from 1 species